GGGGAAGUGUCGGAACUGGCAGACGAGCGUGAUUUAGGAUCACGUGGGCCCAGCCCGUGCGGGUUCAAGUCCCGCCUUCCCCA
rnacentral:tRNA from 1 species